rnacentral:rRNA from 1 species
GACGUAGGGGGCCAGCGUUGUUCGGAAUUACUGGGUGUAAAGGGUUCGUAGGCGGUGCGGCAAGUUGGGAGUGAAAUCUCUGGGCUUAACCCAGAGGCUGCUUCCAAAACUGCUGUGCUUGACGUGUGGGAGAGGCGCGUGGAAUUGCAGGUGUAGCGGUGAAAUGCGUAGAUAUCUGCAGGAACACCCGUGGCGAAAGCGGCGCGCUGGACCACUACUGACGCUGAGGUGCGAAAGCGUGGGGAGCAAACAGG